CCUACGGGGGGCUGCAGUGGGGAAUAUUGGACAAUGGGGGCAACCCUGAUCCAGCCAUGCCGCGUGUGUGAAGAAGGCCCUCGGGUUGUAAAGCACUUUCAGUGAGGAAGAACGCCUGGUGGUUAAUACCCAUCAGGAAAGACAUCACUCACAGAAGAAGCACCGGCUAACUCCGUGCCAGCAGCCGCGGUAAUACGGAGGGUGCGAGCGUUAAUCGGAAUUACUGGGCGUAAAGCGCGCGUAGGUGGCUUGAUAAGCCGGUUGUGAAAGCCCCGGGCUCAACCUGGGAACGGCAUCCGGAACUGUCAAGCUAGAGUGCAGGAGAGGAAGGUAGAAUUCCCGGUGUAGCGGUGAAAUGCGUAGAGAUCGGGAGGAAUACCAGUGGCGACGGCGGCCUUCUGGACUGACACUGACACUGAGGUGCGAAAGCGUGGGUAGCAAACAGGAUUAGAUACCCUAGUAGUC
rnacentral:rRNA from 1 species